rnacentral:ncRNA from 1 species
CUUUCAAAGGAGGCAAUUAAAAGGGAAUCAGGUGCAAAUCCUGGACAGUCCCGCUGCUGUAAGUUUCACAUAAUGUUGCAGGCUAUAAACUCUCUCCAUGCCACUGGAAGCAUAUUCCGGGAAGGCUGUUUGCAACAGAAACAAGUCAGAAGACCUGCCAUGCACUGUU